GGCGGUCUGGUGGCGCAACGGUAGUGCGUCUGACUCCAGAUCAGAAGGUUGCGUGUUCAAAUCACGUCCGUGUCA
rnacentral:tRNA from 1 species